CGAGCCCAGGCUCAUUCCGCGCUGCCGCCUGAUGGGGACGGAGCGGCCGCGGCUCCGCCGCGCCGGGCACGGUGCGCGCUGCGCCCUGCGCCCGCCCGAGCCUGGGGGAGGCGCCGGGGCGGGGAGCGGCGGCCAAACCGGAGCCGCCCGGCCAGGGGCGCGCAGCCAGGAGGGAGGGAAAGGCGCUGCAGGAUGAGGAUCCAAGCCCAGAGCUGCUCUUUUCCAAGGAUUUGGGAUUUCCAAAGUGUUCCCAUCAGCUGGAGCAGAGCUCAGGACAGGGUGGAGGUAAAGUCUCAGCUGUGAGCGUGGAGGAAUUCCAGGCGUAUGGAUAAAACCAGCAGGAAUCGUGUUGGGAAUAGGACGGGAAAGGCUGGAUCCAGCUGCAGGUGUGUCCAGAGGCGGCUCCUGGGCUGAAUCUUCAGGAACUUUUCAUGGAAUUUCUGCUCCUGGUGCUGCUGAAAACAUCUGGAAAAGGACUUUUCUCCUGGAAAAAAGAAAUUACUGGGACAAGCUGGGAUUUCAAAGGAAUUUCUGGGAAUCCAGAGCUGCUUUUUCCUUUGUUUUUUUCCAGAGAAAAAUGUGGAUUCUGAUGGUUAGAGGGUGCAGAAAAUUCCUUUUUCUUUCAUUAUUGAGGGAAUUUAUUCCCAUUUCUAAGCGAAAAUUCCGUGUUUAAAGCUGCUCCUGUCAUCGUUUGCAUUCCAGGAGUUUGGGAAUUGACAAAAAUUGGGAAUUGUAAUACUGGGAAUAAAUCUGAAGGGUUGUU